rnacentral:rRNA from 1 species
UAAGGAAUAUUGGUCAAUGGACGCAAGUCUGAACCAGCCAUGCCGCGUGGAGGAUGAAGGUCCUCUGGAUUGUAAACUUCUUUUCUCUGGGACGAAACCCCCGAUUUCUAUCGGGCCUGACGGUACCAGAGGAAUAAGCACCGGCUAACUCCGUGCCAGCAGCCGCGGUAAUACGGAGGGUGCAAGCGUUAUCCGGAUUUACUGGGUUUAAAGGGAGCGUAGGCGGGCAGUUAAGUCAGUGGUGAAAUCUCUGGGCUUAACCCGGAAACUGCCAUUGAUACUAUCUGUCUUGAAUAUUCUGGAGGUAAGCGGAAUAUGUCAUGUAGCGGUGAAAUGCUUAGAUAUGACAUAGAACACCCAUUGCGAAGGCAGCUUACUACGGGAUUAUUGACGCUGAGGC